UCUCCACUGCCAGACUUGCAUGUUUCACUCAGUUCCUCGUCAGAGAGCUUUUUUAAAACAUGAAACCCUCCUCGUUCAGCCUCACGGAAAUUCACCGGCGGAUAGACGAAGUGAAGCGGUUUCUUUCUAGAACACUGGACAUCGCAAACGCUCACACGGUGGAGUUUUACACUCAGGACGUGUGGAGUCGCUUCAUGGCGCUGCGGCCGGAGGAGGUUCUGUUAGCCGUUAGCCGCAGCGAGCAGCAGGGGGAGCCGCAGCACGGAGGAACCGAGUCUUCCCGGACCACGUUUGGGUUUUGCUGUGAUUCAAACCGGCUGGUUGAUGUUCGUGAACUUUUGCAGGCGGCCAAAGCUCACUCUCUGCCUGGCCUUGGAGUCUGCAUGAGCAGGGAUGAGCUACUGCAGGACCUCAAAGAGAACGGGCCCGACUCUGGCAUCCCACCAGCAGGGACAGGUGCUGAUCUGGAGCCAGAUGAGUUCAUGAACUCUAAGAAAUCCCAUGAAGUCCAGUCCAUGUCUGAGGUUGUGGCUUGUUUGGCCCAUCGCUGUGGAGUCAAACAGGUGAUAGAUGUGGGCUCAGGAAAAGGCUAUCUGAGCUCCUUCCUGUCUCUUCAGCACAACCUUCGGGUGUAUGGCAUCGACUCCUCCAGCACUAACACUCAUGGUGCUCAGGAGAGGAACAGGAAGCUGAAGAAGUUCUCCAGGGCGUACCAGAAACACACCAAAGCAGCAGAGACACAAGUAGAGGCCACACAUUCACCUCAGGAGGAGUCGUCAGAAAUAAAACCUGGGCUGAACGGAGAUGAUGAUGUUUUAUAUGGUGUUGGGGCAGGAAAUGAGUCAUGGGAGGAGGUGUUAAUCGGCUCGUCAGAUGUCAACCCGGCAGCAGAAAGGCAUUCAGAGCUAAACCCAGAACCAGAGGAGCUAUUCCUCAGCGCCCUAUUGUUGGAUGUGAUUCAGACUCCCAGAGUUCCCCCAAGUCAACUCAGCGCUGAGGAGAGAGAGAGGAGGAAGAGGGAGAACCUGGAGAGGAAAGCUCAGAGGAGAACAAACAGCACUGGCGCUGUGUUUUCACCACUCACAUCUUACGUUACUGCGGAAACAGAGCUCCGAGAGCUCAUCAACGAGCUGGAGGACGCCGUCGUGGUCGGCCUGCACACGUGUGGCGACUUGGCGCCGAGCACGCUGAGGAUGUUUGUGGCGAAGCCGGAGCUCUCCGCAGUCUGCAGCGUGGGCUGCUGCUAUCACCUGCUGUCUGAAGAGUUUGACCCUGCUAGACAGGAGUGUUUGCACAGCUUGUGUGGUUUCCCUCUGAGUCAGUACCUCCGCAACCAGUCCUGGUUCUGUGGCAGAAAUGCCAGGAUGUCGGCAUGCUUGGCACUGGAGAGAGUUUCACUUGGCCAAGGGAUCCAGAUGGAGUCUUUGUUCUACCGAGCAGUUCUGCAUGUUAUUCUGAGGGACCACUACAGCUCCUAUAAAAGUGAAAAGCGAGUUGGGAAUGUCUACUCCAAGGCAAAAACAUUUGUGGACUACGUUCGUCAAGCUCUACGCAGACUGGAACUGGAUGAAUCAAAGCUUUCAGACAACGACAUCCAGAAUUACCAUGACACGUACAGAGUGAGGAUGGAUGAGAUGCAUGCCUUUAACAUGCUGAAGGUGACCCUUGCUCCGUGUAUUGAAGGCCUGAUCCUCCUUGAUCGCCUCUGCUACCUGAAAGAACAGGAGGAUGUAUCGCUCUCUGCACUGGUGCAACUGUUUGACCCCCUGCUGUCACCGAGAUGUUACGCUGUCGUCGGACUCAAGAGUUAUGGAAAGAGAAUAACAAGCUGAAGAACUCGCACAUGCGCACAUUGAUAUAAGGCAGUGAUUCAGGGUUCGUGCUGGAGACAAGAAGAAGGUCACGAUGAAAGGCCCGCAUCCAACACACACAAACAAGCGGGAAAGAAAUCAGCAAAAAGGAAGGAGAAAACAAAUAAUUUCCUGACUUUUACACCUAUUUGGAGGCAGGAAAGAGGGGUUUUCAGGAAGCAAUGAAGGCUUGGAGACAGAAAUAAACAGCAUGGAGGCACCUCAGAUGACUUUUCAUUGCAAGGUAGGAAGGAGAGGAGGUGGAGGGGAAGCAAGGGGGGGUGUUAAACACUUUCAUCUGUGAUUGUUGUUUCUCACGGGGCUGUUUGGAUGUGAUACAGGCUUGUGCCACCCUCCCUGAUGUGCAGAAUCAUCUCAGGGCUCAAAACAGGACUUGAAACAUCCAGGAACUUCUACAUAAUUAGCUAUCAGAUAGUGAAUGAAAAUGGGCUCCUUGUGAAUGGGGAAGCCAAGUCUUCGCCAGUGAACCCAAAAUAAUCCCAGCAUACAAUUUAGAGAGGAAGUGGCAGGCUUUAUCAGAUAUAAACACAACUUGAAAACGAGGAAAAGGAGUGGGAGGAAGAUGUGGGCUACUCUAUUUGUAAAACGACAGGAAGCGAUGGUUAAUUAGCAUUUAAAGGCCUCCUCUCUCGUCCUAAUGUCUUCCAACUGGCCAUCAUGUUGCCCCGUUUGAACUUUUUGGGGCUUGUGUGGGCAGACAGCCAUUAAAAAAAGGAUGCCCUGGCUGCCAUCAUCACAGACUUCACCGCUCUGCCAGCUGUCUGGAUUGUGAAACAACAAGGGAUUUGGCUGGACGCUCGGCGCACACUGCUUGUUUUAGAUUAAAAUCACUUAUCGCCUCAAGUUUGUGCAGAUUUAUCCUCCGGAGACGCUCAUGUGGGGUAAAAAAAAGCAUCUUACACCUGCCAGAGAUGUAACUGUGGGAGUGUAAACAGGCUUGUCAGACUGUGUAAAUGUUUGACUCUGUGUAGAACCGCUUCCCCAUAAGUGAACAACUGCUGUUUAUAAUACAAAACAGUCAUCACGUUUUAUGACUAACAACUCUUGUCCCCUCUGAUUCAUAUUUUCCAUUAACCUUGCCCAUUCUCUUGGCACGUUAACCAGAUUAAUACCAAAUUAAAUCAAUCGAAAACAUCUGCCAAGUCAUAGAAAACAAAGAACAUGAGAAACGUUGUUACGUGUGGUCUGUUGAAAGCACUUCUCCAAACUCUAAUGCAAUUGGGGGAAAAAUGCAAUGCAUUUUUUCUGCUUAUAUUAUAUCAUUAUCGUCCCAAACGGCUUUGUUUUGUUCAUUUACUGACAUGAUUCGAUUACCUGUCUGAAGACUGUAAAUUCAAAAUUCAUGGAGUCUCUUACGAUCUCAUCUGGAAAACACAUUUUCCUGUCAUAGUAGGUACAAAAUAUUGGAACAAACUGUUUAAUGAAUGUGACAGAAGAAGUGGAACACAACUCAGAUGAAUAAUUGAUAUAAAGUUUUGUUGUCAUGUUGAAUAAACCACUCAGUAUUUGUACUGUCAGUGGAUCUAAAAAGUUUCCUGAAGUAAGAAAAGACACUUGAGUUGUACAAAUUGGAUUUAUUUCACAGUAGUGUUGCACUAAAGAAGCAUGUAGUAUCUGCACAAAACACCAAUAAGGUACUUUAAUCGGGCAGGGUUAGCGUCUCUCCUUUUUUAUUCUCUCUUCUUGACAACUUUAGACUCCAAAACACAUGAAAUGUAUUGCAACGGUAAAAGAAAUCCUGAUUUUCUAA